GCAUUUACUGACUUCCACAGUUAUACCAAGAAAUGUUUACACGGAUGAUGAUAAGCACAUGUGCAAAUGCAGCGUUUUCACCGACCCGGGUAACCAACUCCCGGCUGCAGUUCUCUGCACGGAGAUGAGGCUUGAUGGGGAAACUCCGCAGCGACCUGAGCCUAGAGGAGCAGCUGGGCACGGUGGGCAGAGCCCGGUGUGGACAGGCGCUGGGUCCUGCACCUGGCUGGGGGGAGCUGCAGGCGCCAGGGUCAAGUUGAGGGUGUGCUAGUCCUGGCCUCCGGCCUCAGGUGGCCCACUCUGCCCUCUGCCUGUUUCCUCCCUUGUAAAGUGGGGAGGAACGGACCAUCACAAGCCAGGGUUGGUGGCACAUGCUGUGGUCUCAGCCACUCAGGAGGCUGCACCUGGAGGGUCACUUGUGUCCCAGAGCUGCGCUCCAGCCUGGGCAACGCUGAGACUCGGGCUCUGAAAACCCACAAAACGUAUAAGAUGAACGCAGAUAAACGAUGGGAGCCUGGUAUGUGGUGAGCACGCUGCAGGUGGCAGCCUGGAACCCAGGACAGGUCACUGCCUGGUGGAAAACAAGCCUGUCUUUGGGGCCAGCCAGCUAACAAGUGAGCGUUUCACCCCAUCUGAAGGCAAAGUACCCAAAUGGGCAACCGUGGACAGCUAAGUAAAAAUGAGGACUCCUGGGAUGCCUUCUCAGGACACAUUCUUAAUAAACAGAUACGUGCAUGAGGACAUUGUGUGUAUUUCUAUGCAGCAGACCACCCCAAACCUCAGUGAGCAAAAACCUGUCUUCACUGCUCAUGACCCUGUGGGCCUGCAGCUUGAGCCGGUUCAGCUGGGACGGCUUCCCUCGGCCCCACGAGGUGACCACUGGGCCUACUUAUCCGCAGAGGCCCCCGGCAGAUCCGGGCCAUGUGUCACCAGUCCCUACAGGCUGGCCGGGCCUCCUUCCCGGCAGGUCUCCAUCGGCAGCGAGAGAAAGCAAAUCCCUGUGGUGUUUCCAUCCAUCUCCCCAGGAGAAGCAGAGCAGCAGAAAGCGGAUGGUGGCCAAGGCCGGGACCCUCUGCUGUUCCCACAGGCCUCUCCAGAGGCUCUGCAGGACCAGCCAGCAGCCUCAACUGGUCCCUUCCUGUUCCACACCCUCAGAUGCCAUCCUCUCCACAGAGAUGGUUUCUGCCAUGGUGCUCUCCCUAACUUGGAAGAAUGGCACUCCCCUUGGGCUGAUGUCAGGGAGAACAGCAGUUUCCAGUCGCCUGGGCCCAGGACAGGGUGUUCCCAGCUGUCGUGA
rnacentral:lncRNA from 1 species